AAAAAUGGUCAUCUUCUCAAUUAGUUUCUGCCGAUUUUUUCUCUCCUCCAUAGCUGGGGUUUCUUCAACUUUCAAGCCUCAUAAUCAAGAAGAACGAAAUUCGGGAGUAGAUCAGGGAAAAGAAAAAGUAAAGGACUAAAUUGUAAAGUUUAGUCACAUUUUGUAUCAAGUACUUAUCUAGCCACUCGGGGAUCGAAGGAAACGUCGGAGGCCGAUCACACUAUCAAAGAAAUAACUCGGUAUAAUUAGACGUUUUGUUUUGGGUAUGGCAUGUAUAGAAACUUAGCUACUUUUGGUAUAAUAUGAACAAUGAAUGAUGUGUAAAUACUUGCUAGUGAUUAGCUAACAAAAUGGCCGAUGAUAUACAUGUUUAUUAAUAUGUAUGAUUGAAUGGUGAUUAUCACAUGAAAAUUAUGAAAAAUGUGAAAGUAACCUAAAAACAGAUUCAAGUAACAGAAAUGACGUAACUUUGAAAAAUCACUAAAAAUUGUAGAAACAUAGUUUGAAGAUGAAUAAUAUAUGAAAUUAAAUCUUA